GACGUAGGGCGCGAGCGUUGUCCGGAUUUAUUGGGCGUAAAGAGCUCGUAGGCGGCUUGUCGCGUCGUCCGUGAAAACCCACGGCUUAACUGUGGGCUUGCGGUCGAUACGGGCAGGCUAGAGUUCGGUAGGGGAGACUGGAAUUCCUGGUGUAGCGGUGAAAUGCGUAGAUAUCAGGAGGAACACCAGUGGCGAAGGCGGCUUCCUGGACACUAACUGACGCUGAGACGCGAAAGCGUGGGGAGCAAACAGG
rnacentral:rRNA from 1 species